rnacentral:rRNA from 1 species
CUUUUUCCCGGGGAACUUGCUCCACCGGAAAAGAAGAGUGGCGAACGGGUGAGUAACACGUGGGUAACCUGCCCAUCAGAAGGGGAUAACACUUGGAAACAGGUGCUAAUACCGUAUAACAAUCGAAACCGCAUGGUUUUGAUUUGAAAGGCGCUUUCGGGUGUCGCUGAUGGAUGGACCCGCGGUGCAUUAGCUAGUUGGUGAGGUAACGGCUCACCAAGGCCACGAUGCAUAGCCCACCUGAGAGGGUGAUCGGCCACAUUGGGACUGAGACACGGCCCAAACUCCUACGGGAGGCAGCAGUAGGGAAUCUUCGGCAAUGGACGAAAGUCUGACCGAGCAACGCCGCGUGAGUGAAGAAGGUUUUCGGAUCGUAAAACUCUGUUGUUAGAGAAGAACAAGGAUGAAAGUAACUGUUCAUCCCUUGACGGUAUCUAACCAGAAAGCCACGGCUAACUACGUGCCAGCAGCCGCGGUAAUACGUAGGUGGCAAGCGUUGUCCGGAUUUAUUGGGCGUAAAGCGAGCGCAGGCGGUUUCUUAAGUCUGAUGUGAAAGCCCCCGGCUCAACCGGGGAGGGUCAUUGGAAACUGGGAGACUUGAGUGCAGAAGAGGAGAGUGGAAUUCCAUGUGUAGCGGUGAAAUGCGUAGAUAUAUGGAGGAACACCAGUGGCGAAGGCGGCUCUCUGGUCUGUAACUGACGCUGAGGCUCGAAAGCGUGGGGAGCAAACAGGAUUAGAUACCCUGGUAGUCCACGCCGUAAACGAUGAGUGCUAAGUGUUGGAGGGUUUCCGCCCUUCAGUGCUGCAGCUAACGCAUUAAGGCACUCCGCCUGGGGGGAGUACGACCGCAAGGGUUUGAAACCUCAAGGAAUUUGACAGGGGGCCCGCCACAGCGUGAGCAAUGGUGGUUAUCCGUAGGCCACGCGGAAGAACCUUACCCAG